UAGCGGAGGAAAAGAAACCAACCGGGAUUGCCUUAGUAACGGCGAGUGAAGCGGCAAAAGCUCAAAUUUGAAAUCUGGUACCUUCGGUGCCCGAGUUGUAAUUUGGAGAGGGCAACUUUGGGGCCGUUCCUUGUCUAUGUUCCUUGGAACAGGACGUCAUAGAGGGUGAGAAUCCCGUGUGGCGAGGAGUGCGGUUCUUUGUAAAGUGCCUUCGAAGAGUCGAGUUGUUUGGGAAUGCAGCUCUAAGUGGGUGGUAAAUUCCAUCUAAAGCUAAAUAUUGGCGAGAGACCGAUAGCGAACAAGUACAGUGAUGGAAAGAUGAAAAGAACUUUGAAAAGAGAGUGAAAAAGUACGUGAAAUUGUUGAAAGGGAAGGGCAUUUGAUCAGACAUGGUGUUUUGUGCCCUCUGCUCCUUGUGGGUAGGGGAAUCUCGCAUUUCACUGGGCCAGCAUCAGUUUUGGUGGCAGGAUAAAUCCAUAGGAAUGUAGCUUGCCUCGGUAAGUAUUAUAGCCUGUGGGAAUACUGCCAGCUGGGACUGAGGACUGCGACGUAAGUCAAGGAUGCUGGCAUAAUGGUUAUAUGCCGCCCGUCUUGAACCACCGGACCAA
rnacentral:rRNA from 1 species